AGCCUCGCGGCGGGGGAAACCCGAGCUCCCAACAAAACGGUUCCAUCUUUGGCUAGGCCUUUGGUAUUUCAAGGCGCUGCCGGUGGGGAGAGAUGCCGCGUGCCUGAGAGGCUCUGGGAGGCACCAAAGAAGGCCCAGAGAGGUUUAACAACUUCCUCAGAAUCACACAGCUUCCAAAUGGUUGGGUUGGGUUUACAUUUAGGCGGUCUUGCUCCAGAGCCAGUGCUCCUAACCUUUGCAAGCCACGAACCUCAAGAAAGUGGAGAAGGAAACGCUGGGAAAUCUGGAAGUCAGACAUGGCAAAGAGCUAAUGCUGGCAGCUGUUGGGAUGUCCUCUUCCAGGAAUGGUGAUGAGUUUCCCUGGAUCCAGCCCUGGCUUGGCUGAGAUGAUGAAGGUUUAAGAAGCAGCAUCAUCAGCGAACUGUGUUUUGAAGAUUUGAGGGAAGGGCUGACCUCAGGAUUUUAUACUAGGUAUUUGAUGCAAUGCAGACUGGAAUCCUCCCCACAAGGAUGCCCUGGCCUGAGUGGCACAGAGAUCAAUGCAGCAGUCAUUUCCUGGGCGGGGAAAGCCCAUCCACAGUGGCCCUGGAAUGAUGCUGGUCUUACCUUCUAUUCCUAGGAAGGCCCUAUCUCAAGUGGCUCUGGUCCAUGCAAACAGAUGGAAACGGGUGUGGGGAAGCACAGGCCUCCUACUCAUGUUAAGAGAGCUGCUCAGAGGCAGGAAUCCAGAACCAGGAAUGUCCCCAGUGGCUGCCCAAGGUACAAGUGGCAGGCAGCGGGGAGAAUGGCAUGUGAAGUCAUUUGUAACCUGGCCCCAGCUUGGUUUCCAAGUCUCAGAGGAGAUUAUGGAUAUGGUAGUGCCUGGCUCAGUGCUUAAAAUCCAUUCUCCUGCUAUUUCCCUCACCUACACUCAGCCCCACAAGCCGAGAUGUUUGCUGGACAUUUCAGGCACUGCCACCCAGUUCUGUCUACCUUACCUGCUAACACCUGUUGACCAUCCUUCAUGUGAAGGCUUCCCCAAAUACUUCCCAAUCAAAACACUAAAAGGCAGACCUGAAAUUAAUAAAAAUGUUAAUUAAAUCUGUACAACAGAAA
rnacentral:lncRNA from 1 species